GUUCAGCGCCUGGCUCGUGGCGCCUCGGUGGAUCCGGCUCCCAGCCUGAGUGGAGGGUACAUGAGCUGCGAUGGUCCCAAGUUUCUGUGCCCCUUCAAUGUGGAACAUGUGGUCAUCAAAGAAGAUGUGAGGCCUUAUCUUCACCAAGAUGGGACCUUUGGGGGCUCCAGCAAGGAAAAGAGCUUCGUCUAUCUCUAGACCCCAGCGGCGAAGGGUUUUCAGCACGCGGGCGCCUGAACUGGCUGCACUCCUGGCUGUAACCAGACACCUUUACAGAACCAGCAAAGCAAGUAUGCAGCUAUUAGAAUCACCUUCUUUGCUAUCAAGUCUCAGGAUGUACCUCCCUCCAAACCUUGAGCUAGACCAACCCAGUGGAUGUG